rnacentral:rRNA from 1 species
UACGUAGGGGGCAAGCGUUGUCCGGAUUUAUUGGGCGUAAAGAGCGUGUAGGCGGCCUGGCAAGUCCGCUGUGAAAACUCGAGGCUUAACCUCGAGACGUCGGUGGAGACUGCCUGGCUAGAGUCCGGAAGAGGAGAGUGGAAUUCCUGGUGUAGCGGUGAAAUGCGCAGAUAUCAGGAAGAACACCCGUGGCUAAGGCGGCUCUCUAGUACGGUACUGACGCUGAGACGCGAAAGCGUGGGGAGCGAACAGG